rnacentral:rRNA from 1 species
UUCAAUACUGUCGCUUGCGAUGGUGUGCACUUUUCUCUUAGUAGGACGUUGUGAUCCAUUAGGAAUUGAUGUGUACGUAUGUGCACAUCGUUGAGCUACCAAUAGGCCGGCACUGAAGUUCACUUAGGCAAAUGGCGCGAUCGUUUGGUUGCGUGUAUUGACGAAUGAGCAUGCCGUGUCCUGAUGUAGCUGCCUGAUGGGUUUUAAAGGCCAUACCAUUGAUGCUUGCCAUCACCCGGAUUCGCGUCCGGGUCACAGGAUAUGUGCCCGAUCAACAACGGUUUCAUUUGGGAUACCUUUGGGACCCGUCUUGAAACACGGACCAAGGAGUCUAUCUAGUAUGCAAGUAAAUGGGAUCAAAAUAGCUAAACCUAUUUGCGCAAAUAACUUGACUGUUGUUCCAAUGGGAUUACGUGCACAUGCCAUCUGUAUAGAGUGUGCGCCUCCAUCCCGGGGUAUUUUCAUCACAUAUGUGGGGGGCUCGCUCUCCGCAUAUAGAAAAUAUACCAUGAGCAUACUGGACAUGACCCGAAAGAUGGUGAACUAUGCCUGAUCAGGUUGAAGUCAGGGGAAACCCUGAUGGAGGACCGAAGCAAUUCUGACGUGCAAAUCG